AUGCUGUUCAGUUUACAGGAGCUUGAGAAGGCAACAAAUAAGUUUGACGAGGCUCGAAAACUCGGAGGUGGAGGCCACGGUACUGUCUACAGAGGGAUUUUAUCUGACAAACAUGUUGUUGCCAUCAAGAAGUCAAAAGUUGUAAUCCAGAGAGAAACAGAUGAUUUCAUCAAUGAGGUUGCCAUCCUUUCUCAGGUGAACCACAGGAACGUAGUGAAGCUUUUCGGAUGUUGUCUCGAGACAGAAGUUCCAUUGUUGGUCUACGAAUUCAUUUCAAAUGGAACUCUUUCUGAUCAUCUUCAUGCCGGUACACCACUAUCAAUGCCAUGGAAAGACCGGCUCAGAAUAGCCAUUGAAACCUCAAGGUGCCUUGCUUAUCUGCACUCAGCUGCUUCAGUAUCAAUAGUCCAUAGAGAUGUCAAGUCCGCAAACGUACUACUUGAUGAUCGCGUCACAGCCAAAGUAUCGGAUUUUGGAGCUUCAAGAGGCAUCCCCAUUGACCAAACUGGAGUCACAACUGCCGUUCAAGGAACUUUCGGACAUUUGGAUCCGGAAUACUACCACACACGGCGACUCACCGAGAAAAGUGAUGUAUAUAGCUUUGGUGUCAUGCUUGUGGAGCUAUUAACAAGGAAGAAGCCAUGUGUCGACCUGUCAACACCAGGAGCCAGUCUAAUUGCUGAAUUCAUCUUGCGAGUGAACCAAGACAAAAUCUGUGAGAUGCUAGACCAGCAAGUCAUCGAAGAAGGGACUGAAGAGGCCAAACAAGUUGCAGCAGUAGCACUGAUGUGCUUAAGUUUAAAGGGUGAAGAUAGGCCCACAAUGAGGCAAGUUGAGACAAAACUUGAAGUGAUCCAAACUGUAGAAAGAAAUACACCAGUGGAACAAACCAACGCCAAUGCUGAUGAUGACAACUUCAGUAGACGAUAUAGUAUGGAGGAAGAGUGCAUGUCAUCUAUGAGUUUCCCUAGGUAG
rnacentral:rRNA from 1 species